GGAGGGUCUACAGCAGCACCUAGAUCUGUCCCCAACCAAGGAGGUCCUACAGCAGCACCUAGAUCUGUCCCCAACCAAGGAGGGCCUACAGCAGCACCUAGAUCUGUCCCCAACCAAGGAGGUCCUACAGCAGCACCUAGAUCUGUCCCCAACCAAGGAGGGCCUACAGCAGCACCUAGAUCUGUC